UGGGUAGGGGAGCGUUCUGUAAGCCUGUGAAGGUGGCCUGUGAGGGUUGCUGGAGGUAUCAGAAGUGCGAAUGCUGACAUAAGUAACGAUAAAGCGGGUGAAAAGCCCGCUCGCCGGAAGACCAAGGGUUCCUGUCCAACGUUAAUCGGGGCAGGGUGAGUCGACCCCUAAGGCGAGGCCGAAAGGCGUAGUCGAUGGGAAACGGGUUAAUAUUCCCGUACUUGGUGUUACUGCGAAGGGGGGACGGAGAAGGCUAUGUUGGCCGGGCGACGGUUGUCCCGGUUUAAGCGUGUAGGUGUGUGUUCCAGGUAAAUCCGGUUCACUUUAACACUGAGGCGUGAUGACGAGGCACUACGGUGCUGAAGCAACAAAUGCCCUGCUUCCAGGAAAAGCCUCUAAGCAUCAGGUAACAUCAAAUCGUACCCCAAACCGACACAGGUGGUCAGGUAGAGAAUACCAAGGCGCUUGAGAGAACUCGGGUGAAGGAACUAGGCAAAAUGGUGCCGUAACUUCGGGAGAAGGCACGCUGACAUGUAGGUGAAGUGAUUUACUCACGGAGCUGAAGUCAGUCGAAGAUACCAGCUGGCUGCAACUGUUUAUUAAAAACACAGCACUGUGCAAACACGAAAGUGGACGUAUACGGUGUGACGCCUGCCCGGUGCCGGAAGGUUAAUUGAUGGGGUCAGCGCAAGCGAAGCUCCUGAUCGAAGCCCCGGUAAACGGCGGCCGUAACUAUAACGGUCCUAAGGUAGCGAAAUUCCUUGUCGGGUAAGUUCCGACCUGCACGAAUGGCGUAAUGAUGGCCAGGCUGUCUCCACCCGAGACUCAGUGAAAUUGAACUCGCUGUGAAGAUGCAGUGUACCCGCGGCAAGACGGAAAGACCCCGUGAACCUUUACUAUAGCUUGACACUGAACAUUGAGCCUUGAUGUGUAGGAUAGGUGGGAGGCUUUGAAGUGUGGACGCCAGUCUGCAUGGAGCCGACCUUGAAAUACCACCCUUUAAUGUUUGAUGUUCUAACGUGGACCCGUAAUCCGGGUUGCGGACAGUGUCUGGUGGGUAGUUUGACUGGGGCGGUCUCCUCCUAAAGAGUAACGGAGGAGCACGAAGGUUGGCUAAUCCUGGUCGGACAUCAGGAGGUUAGUGCAAUGGCAUAAGCCAGCUUGACUGCGAGCGUGACGGCGCGAGCAGGUGCGAAAGCAGGUCAUAGUGAUCCGGUGGUUCUGAAUGGAAGGGCCAUCGCUCAACGGAUAAAAGGUACUCCGGGGAUAACAGGCUGAUACCGCCCAAGAGUUCAUAUCGACGGCGGUGUUUGGCACCUCGAUGUCGGCUCAUCACAUCCUGGGGCUGAAGUAGGUCCCAAGGGUAUGGCUGUUCGCCAUUUAAAGUGGUACGCGAGCUGGGUUUAGAACGUCGUGAGACAGUUCGGUCCCUAUCUGCCGUGGGCGCUGGAGAACUGAGGGGGGCUGCUCCUAGUACGAGAGGACCGGAGUGGACGCAUCACUGGUGUUCGGGUUGUCAUGCCAAUGGCACUGCCCGGUAGCUAAAUGCGGAAGAGAUAAGUGCUGAAAGCAUCUAAGCACGAAACUUGCCCCGAGAUGAGUUCU
rnacentral:rRNA from 1 species